UACGGAGGGUGCAAGCGUUAUCCGGAUUCACUGGGCUUAAAGGGUGCGUAGGUGGGUUGGUAAGUCAGUGGUGAAAUCUCCAGGCUUAACUUGGAAACUGCCAUUGAUACUAUCAAUCUUGAAUACCGUGGAGGUCAGCGGAAUAUGUCAUGUAGCGGUGAAAUGCGUAGAUAUGACAUAGAACACCAAUUGCGAAGGCAGCUGGCUACACGAAUACUGACACUGAUGCACGAAAGCGUGGGGAGCAAACAGG
rnacentral:rRNA from 1 species